UGUGUUUUUAAUGAUUACCAUUCAAAACCUGUUACUGAAGGAGCUCUUAUCCUGUUGUAAAGGCCCGUUUUAGCUUAUAUCUUAUUGGUAUAUUAAUAUACUUGUUGCGAUUUAAUCUCCUUUUGGGUCCUUUCAGUUCUGCACAUGGAAGAAGAAGGUCGUUUGCAAAUAGAUGCCAGGGUUGAUUUUGCUUCUUAUCGAAGGAAUCCUCGAUUGUUUAUACUUGCUGAUGUUUAAUAUAUGGACUUAUUUAUUCAAUGCGCAUUUAGAUAUUGUGAGAGAAUACUUAAAUAGUAUUUUGAGAUUUUUGUUGAGUGAUUUAAAUCUAUAAGUUAUGCAGUUUAUAUAGCAGGGAGGUAGGCUGGUAUUAUUUGCUUAUUUGUAAUAUAGUUUGUAUUUAUUGUACGGAUAUAUCUGUGUAAUUACCGAAGGACUUAAACAUUAAAUUGAUUAAUAGCUUUUCUAUUAUACUUUCCAGUUAUCAUAAUGACUGUUUGUUUUGUGACCUGCUACAAUUUAAUCCUGGAGUAUUGGGGUGCUUAUUUUUGUGUUACUGGAAGGUAUACACUUAAACGAGAGGUAAAAGAGCAGGUCGAUAUUCGAAGAUAAUGUCAAGAUCAACACAGUCCAGAUGGUACAUCCACACCGCAACGCCACCCAGCCGUUUCAGCCCCGCAACCGGUGAAUCUGAACCCGCAACAACUUGUGGUUGUGGUGUGCCUUGUUGCAGAACACCAUUGUCCCGUGUUUACGCAGCGAAGGAGCAUUUUGGCUGAUGAUUCGCGGCACUCUCAGACAGUGUUGAACAAAAUGGUGAGUUGGUUCCGAUGUAGAGCAUUUAUAACGACUUGGGAGACCACGUUUCAGCAAAUGUUAAACUUACGAUGGUUAAUGGCGAAUUCAUAGAGUAAACAGUAUUGUCACGCUCAGAUCACACUAAUAACAGUCAAGGUCAGAGUUUUUUCUUGUUACUGAAGCAGACUGAUAUCUAAAAUUUCAGUCAAAGGCUCCGGCCAAAAAGAUAGAUUCAUUGCCGGUCCUUAAUGUACAUGAGUAUCUAUAUAUACCGUGCGCAAGAAAAUGGUAUGACUUUAGUUUUCAAGGUAUUUGUACCAAAUUUGCUUGUGUAUACGAACAUAGAUGUACGCGUUGUCAUGGGAAGCACUCUAGGAAGUAUUUAUUUUUUCAGAAUCACGUAGCUACCAAUCAAUAUCGUUCUAGGUACUCGUCACUUGGACCACGUGGAAACUUCAGAUAGCCAAAACCGGCAUCUCAAAGAGGGUCACUUUAACCUCCAUUCCCUCACCAAAACCCUUAUUGACUUAGCAGUAUUACAAGUCUAUCUUUCUUUAUAUCCAUAAUAAUAAGUGGCAGCUGAAUGUUUAGAGGGUUCUAACAAAGGGUUUCGAUUACAAAACCAGCGCCCUAGAGUCCAAACUUCGUGUCAAACUUUAAUUUCCGUUAGGCAAAACUCUGCUGUAGCUAAUAAGAAAGUUAUGUAGGAAGAGCAGUUAAGCAGAUUUGCGGUUCCUUUUCAAGAAAUUCUUGUUCCAAAUUUCAGGCAAUCCGCGAUCAGUCUUGUGGCCAAAAAAGAUGGUAGCUCGAGGAUUAUACGCCAUCUUUCCUUCCCGCAGGGUUAAAGUUUGAAUGAUUUUUAUUGAUACGGCUUCUUCCUCAGUUCAGUACACUUCUUUAGACAGGGUGACGGAGCUAUUGUUUCAUAAGUGCAAUAUUGCGAAAUGGCUAAAAUUGUCAUAAAAUUUGCCUUUCGCCUUUUGAGGUUCAUAAUUAUGAUUUUGAAAUUAUUAGGCUUCUUACUAGGAGGGGAUUAUUUUACGGACAAGGCGUUACCUAUGAGUGUGCAAUCUCUUGCUGCCAUUGGGAAAAGUUUGCUAAUUUAUUACAAUAGCUGGUCCGGUACAAGAGGAAAUCCGAAAGGCUGUUUUAUUACUUGGAUAAUUAUGUUUGUUUGGCUGGCUCUAAUUCAGGGAAUGUAUGACCAAUUUGUUCUGUUUUAUAGAUAUGUGCAAAUACCCAUUUUUGAUUUUUAUGGAUAUGUGAGCUUGUACACACGAACUCAAGCUCCUCGAAUAUAAGUGCUAAAGGUCACGCAUUAUGUGAGGGAGACGUAAGUAUUGUAAGUAUUGAUGUACUUCGCAUAAUUCUUCAUUCAUCAAAAAAAAAACCGAUCAGAAAAAGGCGAAGGAGUAGCUAUUCAUUUACAACCGGCACAUUGUUCUACUUGACCCCUGGAUUUAAUAGAGCGAUAUAUGGUUGUUCGACCAUCUAGUGCUUCAAACUAUUAAUUUGUUUAUUUAAACGGUCUACCCGUCAUACGCUGUCAGUUUAGUGGGUUCUAAAGAAAUCUUUGACUGCCAUUCCAUAUAAACCACAUUCAUUCAGAGUAGGUGCUGCAACAGCAGCAUGACUGCUGACGAUAUUACAAGAAUGGGACGUUGCGCCCCGGAUUCAAGUGCAUUUAAAUCUUACAUUAGAAUCCUCUCACGUCAGCUGUUGUCACUCAGAUCUUAAGCCUAUUGGCAGUUUCAUUUGUACCUGCCAUCUGUUUGCCCAUUUUUUGUUGACAAAUGUUUUCAGCUUUUCAGUGCGUCCUACCCAUAUUUGGAUAGUUGGAUGUUCAAUGAUAAAGUCGGUAUUUCGUUACGACAAGGAAUCAGCUGAGGGUUCUCAGCUUGUAAUGCAGCGUCAUAAUGCGACCAUACUAUGUCAGAGUCAGGGUGGUAUGAAAUUGUGGCAAGUUAAACCUUUAAUCUUACACUUGUUUCCUUUUGAAGACAAUCAAGGUAUGAUUGUUAUUCACUGUGUAAUUAACUUAUUUUUCAUUAGAGAGAGCUAGAAAACGCGUUAAUAAUUUCGCUGCUCAUUUGUUUUUACAAUACAUUGGUGGAUACUUUCGUUAACCAGAAAUCGUCGAAUCCGUGACGGGUCUCUUCAACAGGGAUGGGGUGCACUUGUCAUAAUUUGGAAAUAUUUUGUUUUUAUUCACUCUGCAACACAAGCUUCAGUCCUUCCUAGCAGUAAAUUAUUUAGGCACAGCUUCUCAGGCAGGGAUUGCUUCGCUAUACUGGUGGCGGUUGUCAAGAAUUUUCCACGUUGUUCCAAAUUCUCGACAUGUGGCGGUUAGGUCAGCCUCCACCAGUAUAUCUUAACGUUGUGUAAUAAGAAGUUUGUUUGUUUCAAGUAUACUGUAUUAGGCCUCUGUUCACAGGGCCUCCACAUCUGCAUUUUAAACAUAUACUUUAUAUCAUAUGUAUUUGUAUAUUGACAUUUAUGUGAAGCUGUGACCAAUUUCUGCCAACCAUUAAUUUAAACGAAAUUAGAUAUUAAUUGCUUGCUUUAGUAAAAUUGUUAAUAGUAAAAGUAAUGUAUUCAUAUAACUGUCUUGGGUUGUUCUUUUUAGUAUUAUUAUUUCUGUGCCAAGCUAUCUUCAGUAAUGUGUUUUUAAUGAUUACCAUUCAAAACCUGUUACUGAAGGAGCUCUUAUCCUGUUGUAAAGGCCCGUUUUAGCUUAUAUCUUAUUGGUAUAUUAAUAUACUUGUUGCGAUUUAAUCUCCUUUUGGGUCCUUUCAGUUCUGCACAUGGAAGAAGAAGGUCGUUUGCAAAUAGAUGCCAGGGUUGAUUUUGCUUCUUAUCGAAGGAAUCCUCGAUUGUUUAUACUUGCUGAUGUUUAAUAUCCCACCCUCCACUCCCCUUAUUUUGCUUGUGUUCUCCUUUUUCUUUAUAAUUUCAGGUACAUCUUAUGUGUUCAAGUUCAGCCUACACCUUCCUUGCCUUCAGUCGUUACAGCUUCACAUGGAAUAUUGGCAGUUUUCACAUGUUGAUGAAUGAACAUGACAGUGUUUGUUUUCUAGAACUGUGAAAUGUGUAUGUGUCAUAUAUAAACGUUUAACGUAGUUACUGAUUCUGUAUGUCUGAUUUUGUAUACCUGAUCUCCGUUGAAUUCUGAUCCCAGGUUCGGCGGUUAGGUCAGCCUCCACCAGUAUAUCUUAACGUUGUGUAAUAAGAAGUUUGUUUGUUUCAAGUAUACUGUAUUAGGCCUCUGUUCACAGGGCCUCCACAUCUGCAUUUUAAACAUAUACUUUAUAUCAUAUGUAUUUGUAUAUUGACAUUUAUGUGAAGCUGUGACCAAUUUCUGCCAACCAUUAAUUUAAACGAAAUUAGAUAUUAAUUGCUUGCUUUAGUAAAAUUGUUAAUAGUAAAAGUAAUGUAUUCAUAUAACUGUCUUGGGUUGUUCUUUUUAGUAUUAUUAUUUCUGUGCCAAGCUAUCUUCAGUAAUUGUAAAAACCUGAAAUUCAAUAAGAAACUUCAAUAAACUUUCAAUAUAUGUAUUCAACUCGCAAGAAACCAACAAGGCUACAUAAAAUAUUCUAAUCUAUAUUUCAAAAUGACGAUACAAUAUCAGGUAAAUAUCAAACCUCCUUUUCAUGUCACUGCAGUGUGUUUCAGCUUUCCCUCAUCAGCGAUUCACUUCCGCAGAGAUAUAUAUCAUCAAAUGAUAAUAUCUCGUAUAACAAUUGAAUGUUAAAUGUCAAUCUGGCAACAGAAAGUAUUGUUGCCAGAAAAGCAUUAACUUGUUGACUUCAUAUUGUCACACCGAACAAAUAUCAAACAACUAUUGCUAUAACAAUUCUAUACUGUUUAGUAUAUUAUUGUGGUAUACAAUUAGUAUAGCAUUGUAUUGUAUGCUAGUUGACCAUCGAUAAUAUGCUAUCUCGUAAACUAUGGUGUGUAUACCAUUAGUACACCAUUAUUCUUUAACAUUGCAAGGAAUUCAUAUUUUGCAUUCUGUUGAUCAUAAACUUUAUAAGUAUGUACUAUUAGUGUAUCACAGAACUUAGACAAUCCUGAGCAGUAUACAUUUAUAUGUAAUGAUAAAAGGUAUGAUAAAAUUUUGAAAGAUAAAUUAAACUUGUGUGCCUACUGGGAAAAUAUCUGUUUUCGUAAAAUUGCAAUUUGUGUUAGUCAAAUUAGAGUCUGUGUGUUCCCAACCAAUUACUUGCUCUUCAAAGUUUUCUUAAAUGCUUUGGAAUUCAAAGUAUAUUUUCAUUUCCGUUUCUUGGAGUAGGCUUAAAAACGUUUGAUUUGUGUGGUUGUUCUUUCUUUAACAGAAUAAUCGGAUCUUUUUCAUACCUUUCAAAAAUAUAUCAAUGUCAAGUGGAAUAUGUGUAGCAAAUAAACAAUUAUUAGCAGUCAUCUUUGCUUUGUUUUAUUACAGACAGAAAUUAUCUAUGAUCCUUAGUAACUAGGAUUUUGUGUGGGUUUUUAUGACUAAUGUGGGAUCUGAGUGCUAAAUGAUCAUUUAAUCUGUUAUAAGUUUUGUCAGGGUUAAUAUGUUAAACAGUGGUAAUUCAUCUGGAUUCGUAUCAGUUUUAAAGAAAACUCUGGAAGGUUUGACUGUUUUUUUUUUCUUUUUAAUAUUUCUUAUUAUUAAUUUACAAACUGAAGGUGGUAAAUCACAAUAAAGCAACAUUUUAUGAUAUUUUUAGUUUUCAUACAUUCUGUCAGAGACUUUUUAAAGGAAUGAAAAGACCUAUUACCUAGAAUUCAAUUCCUGUUAGUCUUUUCUGCAAUUUUGUAACAUAUGACAAUAUUUAAAAAGUGAUUUCAAUAUAUUUUCUAGUUUCAUAUUUGCAUUUGACAGAUAUUUCGAUAUUUCAAGAAUCUGAACCUAACAACAAGUUCGAUGUGUUCAUAUGUAUUUGUACAAUUGCGAGUUUAUGAUUUAAUAGUGUGUUAUAUCUUCAAUACAUGGAGGGAUGCCAAAUCGGUUUUGACAUACCUGAAUAAAGUAUUUUGAAGUUUUUCAGUUAAAAUACAACUCUUGAUCAUGAGUAUUGUUUGAUUGUCAUCUGUAAUUGUUCUGUCCAUUUUCAGAUUCUUGUUAUAUGCACUUUAGUCCCUUAUGUUAUCUGCACUGCCACUUACAGUUACAAAGAAAAUCUAUUUUGUAUGCAGUAAUGGUUUAUUAAAAAAUCAAAUAUAGGCAUUUCAACUUCCUUGCAUAUUGUACAAUGUCAUCCUCAUUUCUUGAAAGCAUUCUAAUACCAAAUCAACUUUUUUUUUGAUAGUAUAGAAUUAGUAGUUUGUUCACAGUAGACAUUUAGUACACUAUUAAUAAUAUACAAUUAGUAUAUUAUUAACAGUAUACAAUCAGUAUGCUAUUAACAAUAUACAAUUAUUAUACUAUUAAGAGUAUAUAUUUAGUACACUAUUAUGCAUAUCAUUACACAGUUUAAUUAGUGUUAGUAUCUAAAUUGAUAGUGAUUGAUAGUAUACUUUAGCUCAUUUGCAUGUGCAAUUUUAACUAAUUCUAUACUAACAGUAUAUUGUACACGUUUUGUUGUUUGUUAUAGUAAUUUGUUACCCUGUUCCAUUUUUGGUUUGGGGAGAUCUAGUUAACUACCUCAAGUCUACUCCCUCUCAAGUAGUUAUUUAGUUUAUGUAUUUAUUUCUUAGGCUAUUGUUUUACAUUUUCAGCACAGGCAAAUGUGUUUGAAAAUGUACGUUGUUGUUUUUUAUAAGUUAGAUAUAACUAGACAUAUCACAGUCAAUUUACAGUUUGUGUUAUAUACUCAUCUUUAACUGGCAUCAAAAGGUAUAAACUUGUGUCUAUGUA